rnacentral:rRNA from 1 species
ACUCCUACGGGAGGCAGCAGUAGGGAAUCUUCCACAAUGGACGAAAGUCUGAUGGAGCAACGCCGCGUGAACGAUGAAGGCUUUCGGGUCGUAAAGUUCUGUUGUAAGGGAAGAACAAGUGCCGCAGGCAAUGGCGGCACCUUGACGGUACCUUGCGAGAAAGCCACGGCUAACUACGUGCCAGCAGCCGCGGUAAUACGUAGGUGGCAAGCGUUGUCCGGAAUUAUUGGGCGUAAAGCGCGCGCAGGCGGCCUCUUAAGUCUGAUGUGAAAGCCCCCGGCUCAACCGGGGGAGGGCCAUUGGAAACUGGGAGGCUUGAGUAUAGGAGAGAAGAGUGGAAUUCCACGUGUAGCGGUGAAAUGCGUAGAGAUGUGGAGGAACACCAGUGGCGAAGGCGACUCUUUGGCCUAUAACUGACGCUGAGGCGCGAAAGCGUGGGGAGCAAACA